GUGAAUCAUCAAAUUUUUGAACGCAAAUUGCACUCUCUUCGGAGAGUAUGCCUGUUUGAGGGUCAGCCUAAAAAAAAAAAUCGACAUAGUGGCUGUUACGCGUUAACUUUCGUCGGAAAUUUGUUUUUUUUAAACUUUUGGGUUUAAUGGGUUUAAAUUUUUUUUUAGGAUUCCAAGAACUUUUUUAAAUUUUUUUUUUUUUUUAC
rnacentral:misc_RNA from 1 species